rfam:Triticum aestivum genome assembly, contig: Triticum_aestivum_CS42_TGACv1_scaffold_132087_2BL
UUCAUACUCCCUCCCUCCGGAAAUACUUGCCAUCAAAAUGAAUAAAAGGGGAUGUAUCUAGACGUAUUUUAGUUUUAGAUACAUCUCUUUUUAUUCAUUUUGAUGACAAGUAUUUUUGGACAGAGGGAGUACUAA